AGCAUAUCAAUAAGCGGAGGAAAAGAAACCCAACAGGGAUUGCCCCCAGUAACGGCGAGUGAAGCGGCAAGAGCUCAAAUUUGAAAGCUGGCUCCUUCGGGGUCCGCAUUGUAAUUUGCAGAGGAUGCUUCGGGAGCGGUCCCCAUCUAAGUGCCCUGGAACGGGACGUCAUAGAGGGUGAGAAUCCCGUAUGGGAUGGGGUGUCCGCGCCCGUGUGAAGCUCCUUCGACGAGUCGAGUUGUUUGGGAAUGCAGCUCUAAAUGGGUGGUAAAUUUCAUCUAAAGCUAAAUAUUGGCCGGAGACCGAUAGCGCACAAGUAGAGUGAUCGAAAGAUGAAAAGCACUUUGAAAAGAGAGUUAAAAAGCACGUGAAAUUGUUGAAAGGGAAGCGCUUGCGACCAGACUCGCUCGCGGGGUUCAGCCGGCAUUCGUGCCGGUGUACUUCCCCGCGGGCGGGCCAGCGUCGGUUUGGGCGGUCGGUCAAAGGCCCUCGGAAGGUAACGCCCCUCGGGGCGUCUUAUAGCCGAGGGUGCAAUGCGACCUGCCCAGACCGAGGAACGCGCUUCGGCUCGGACGCUGGCAUAAUGGUCGUAAACGACCCGUCUUGAAACACGGACCAAGGAGUCUAACAUCUACGCGAGUGUUCGGGUGUCAAACCCGUGCGCGAAGUGAAAGCGAACGGAGGUGGGAACCCUCACGGGUGCACCAUCGACCGAUCCUGAAGUCUUCGGAUGGAUUUGAGUAAGAGCGUAGCUGUUGGGACCCGAAAGAUGGUGAACUAUGCCUGAAUAGGGCGAAGCCAGAGGAAACUCUGGUGGAGGCUCGUAGCGGUUCUGACGUGCAAAUCGAUGCGUCGAAUUUGGGUAUAGGGGGCGAAAGACUAAUCGAACCAUCUGGUAGCUGGUUCCUGCCGAA
rnacentral:rRNA from 1 species